UACGGAAGGCAGCAGUGGGGAAUAUUGCACAAUGGGCGAAAGCCUGAUGCAGCUAUGCCGCGUGUAUGAAGAAGGCCUUAGGGUUGUAAAGUACUUUCAUCGGGGAGGAAAAACAAAACUAAUAAUUUUAUUUCUUGACGUUACCCGAAAAAGAAGCACCGGCUAACUCCGUGCCAGCAGCCGCGGUAAUACGGAGGGUGCUAGCGUUAAUCAGAAUUACUGGGCGUAAAGAGCACGUAGGUGGUUUUUUUAAGUCAGAUGUGAAAUCCCUGGGCUUAACCUAGGAACUGCAUUUUGAAACUGAAAUACUAGAGUAUCGUAGAGGGAGGUAGAAUUCUAGGUGUAGCGGUGAAAUGCGUAGAUAUCUGGAGGAAUGCCUGUGGCGAAAGCGGCCUCCUAAACGAAUACUGACACUGAGGUGCGAAAGCGUGGGGAGCAAACAGGAUUAGACUACC
rnacentral:rRNA from 1 species